rnacentral:rRNA from 1 species
UACGUAGGGUGCGAGCGUUAAUCGGAAUUACUGGGCGUAAAGCGUGCGCAGGCGGUUGGCAAAGUCAGCUGUGAAAGCCCCGGGCUUAACCUGGGAAUGGCGGUUGAAACUAGUCGACUCGAAUCUGGCAGAGGGGGGUGGAAUUCCACGUGUAGCAGUGAAAUGCGUAGAGAUGUGGAGGAACACCGAUGGCGAAGGCAGCCCCCUGGGCUGAGAUUGACGCCCAGGCACGAAAGCGUGGGGAGCAAACAGG